AGAGUUUGAUUCUGGCUCAGGAUGAACGCUAGCUACAGGCUUAACACAUGCAAGUCGAGGGGCAGCAUAACGAAAGCUUGCUUUGUGAUGGCGACCGGCGCACGGGUGAGUAACGCGUAUCCAACCUUCCCGCGAGUAGGGAACAGCCCGGCGAAAGUCGGAUUAAUGCCCUAUGUUCUCCGAUGACGGCAUCAGAGUUGGAGUAAAGAUUUAUCGCUUGCGGAUGGGGAUGCGUCUGAUUAGCUUGUUGGCGGGGUAACGGCCCACCAAGGCGACGAUCAGUAGGGGUUCUGAGAGGAAGGUCCCCCACAUUGGAACUGAGACACGGUCCAAACUCCUACGGGAGGCAGCAGUGAGGAAUAUUGGUCAAUGGGCGGAAGCCUGAACCAGCCAAAGUAGCGUGAGGGAUGACUGCCCUAUGGGUUGUAAACCUCUUUUGUUCGGGAAUAAAGUUCGGGACGUGUCCCGUUUUGUAUGUACCGUUCGAAUAAGGACCGGCUAAUUCCGUGCCAGCAGCUGC
rnacentral:rRNA from 1 species